rnacentral:rRNA from 1 species
CAGUAGCCGCGGGAAUACGGAGGGUGCGAGCGUUAAUCGGAAUUACUGGGCGUAAAGCGUGCGCAGGCGGUUGUGUAAGUCAGAUGUGAAAUCCCCGGGCUCAACCUGGGAACUGCAUUUGAGACUGUAUGGCUAGAGUGUGUCAGAGGGGGGUAGAAUUCCACGUGUAGCAGUGAAAUGCGUAGAGAUGUGGAGGAAUACCGAUGGCGAAGGCAGCCCCCUGGGAUAGCACUGACGUUCAUGCCCGAAAGCGUGGGUAGCAAACAGGAUUAGAUACCCGGGUAGUCCCUGUCUCUUAUAC